CAAUAGCGUAUAUUAAAGUUGUUGCAGUUAAAAAGCUCGUAGUUGAAUUUUGCUUGCCGCCGAUGUCGGAACUUCCGUACGUUCGGCGGCGUGCAUCCUUGGGUGGAACCUGUGUGGCAUUAGGUUGUCGUGCAGGGGAUGCUCAUCGUUUACUGUGAAAAAAUUAGAGUGUUCAAAGCAGGCUUACGCCGUUGAAUAUAUUAGCAUGGAAUAAUAAGAUAGGACCUUGGUACUAUUUUGUUGGUUUGCGCACCGAGGUAAUGAUUAACAGGGACAGUUGGGGGUAUUCGUAUUCCAUUGUCAGAGGUGAAAUUCUUGGAUUUCUGGAAGACGAACUACUGCGAAAGCAUUUACCAAGGAUGUUUUCAUUAA
rnacentral:rRNA from 1 species